UACGUAGGGUGCAAGCGUUAAUCGGAAUUACUGGGCGUAAAGCGUGCGCAGGCGGCUAUGCAAGACAGAUGUGAAAUCCCCGGGCUUAACCUGGGAACUGCAUUCAAAACUGACAAGCUAGAGUAUUGUAGAGGGUGGUGGAAUUUCCUGUGUAGCGGUGAAAUGCGUAGAUAUAGGAAGGAACACCAGUGGCGAAGGCGACCACCUGGACUGAUACUGACACUGAGGUGCGAAAGCGUGGGGAGCAAACAGG
rnacentral:rRNA from 1 species